GGGGGAGGGUAAGACUGCUGGGGAACUGACUGAGAUGCCUGACUCCAGUCUGAAGCCACUGGAAUCGCCUUGCUCACAGGAGUAGCUUGAGGAACAGAGUUACUAGAUUGUGCCUUUGCCAAUCGCAAUAUCGACGCAUAGGUUUGCUUGGGUUGCUCCCCCACCGGUUCCUCUGCAGCAGCAGGAGGUGGAUCCCGGGUCACAUUCACCACACUUUGGAAUGAGGCAAUGGUAUCUUCUACAGUAGCUUC
rnacentral:misc_RNA from 1 species